AAAUUGGCUCUAUUAAGAGCCAAACUUCGAAAAUUAAUUUUGCAUU
rfam:Glossina austeni unplaced genomic scaffold Scaffold127, whole genome shotgun sequence.